GCAGGUGGUUUGUCGCGUUGUUCGUGAAAUCUCACGGCUUAACUGUGAGCGUGCGGGCGAUACGGGCAGACUUGAGUACUGCAGGGGAGACUGGAAUUCCUGGUGUAGCGGUGGAAUGCGCAGAUAUCAGGAGGAACACCGGUGGCGAAGGCGGGUCUCUGGGCAGUAACUGACGCUGAGGAGCGAAAGCGUGGGGAGCGAACAGGAUUAGAUACCCUGGUAGUCCACGCCGUAAACGGUGGGUACUAGGUGUGGGUUUCCUUCCUUGGGAUCCGUGCCGUAGCUAACGCAUUAAGUACCCCGCCUGGGGAGUACGGCCGCAAGGCUAAAACUCAAAGAAAUUGACGGGGGCCCGCACAAGCGGCGGAGCAUGUGGAUUAAUUCGAUGCAACGCGAAGAACCUUACCUGGGUUUGACAUGCACAGGACGCCGGCAGAGAUGUCGGUUCCCUUGUGGCCUGUGUGCAGGUGGUGCAUGGCUGUCGUCAGCUCGUGUCGUGAGAUGUUGGGUUAAGUCCCGCAACGAGCGCAACCCUUGUCUCAUGUUGCCAGCGGGUAAUGCCGGGGACUCGUGAGAGACUGCCGGGGUCAACUCGGAGGAAGGUGGGGAUGACGUCAAGUCAUCAUGCCCCUUAUGUCCAGGGCUUCACACAUGCUACAAUGGCCGGUACAAAGGGCUGCGAUGCCGCGAGGUUAAGCGAAUCCUUUUAAAGCCGGUCUCAGUUCGGAUCGGGGUCUGCAACUCGACCCCGUGAAGUCGGAGUCGCUA
rnacentral:rRNA from 1 species